CCCUUAGAUGUUCUGGGCCGCACGCGUGCUACACUGAGUGGAUCAGCGGGUCAGGUUGCGCGAAAGCGUUUCCUAAUCUUUAAAUCCGCUCGUGAUGGGGAUUGACGGUUGCAAUUUUCUGUCAUGAACGAGGAAUACCUUGUAAGCGCGGGUCAUCAUCCCGCGCUGAAUACGUCCCUGCCCUUUGUACACACCGCCCGUCGCUCCUACCGAUUGAGUGGUCCGGUGAGGCUUUGGGAUCUGAGCGGAAAGAGCGUUUCGCUGUUUCUGCUCGGAAAACUCAGUCGAACCUUAUCAUUUAGAGGAAGGAGAAGUCGUAUCA
rnacentral:rRNA from 1 species